rnacentral:tRNA from 1 species
CAGAGUUUAGUUUAAAAAAAAUUUAGGCUUUGGAAGCUUAAGAUAGAGUUUAUAUCUUUAUCUCUGA